rnacentral:rRNA from 1 species
AGAGCCAGGUGACAGGUGCUGCAUGGCUGUCGUCAGCNCGUGUCGUGAGAUGUUGGGUUAAGUCCCGCAAACGAGNNAACCCCCUAUCGUUAGUUGCCAUCAGUUCGGCUGGGCACUCUAGCAGACUGCCGGUGACAAACCGGAGGAAGGUGGGGACGACGUCAAGUCCUCAUGGCCCUUAUGAUCGGGGCUACACACGUACUACAAUGGGCACUACAGAGGGCAGCGAACCCGCGAGGGCGAGCAAAUCCCAAAAAAGUGUCCUCAGUUCGGAUUGGAGUCUGCAACUCGACUCCAUGAAGUCGGAAUUGCUAGUAAUCGCGGAUCAGCAUGCCAC